rnacentral:rRNA from 1 species
GACGAACGCUGGCGGCGUGCUUAACACAUGCAAGUCGAACGAAGAGCGACGGAAGCUUGCUUCUAUCAAUCUUAGUGGCGAACGGGUGAGUAACGCGUAAUCAACCUGCCCUUCAGAGGGGGACAACAGUUGGAAACGACUGCUAAUACCGCAUACGAUCUAAUCUCGGCAUCGAGGAUGGAUGAAAGGUGGCCUCUACAUGUAAGCUAUCACUGAAGGAGGAGAUUGCGUCUGAUUAGCUAGUUGGAGGGGUAACGGCCCACCAAGGCGAUGAUCAGUAGCCGGUCUGAGAGGAUGAACGGCCACAUUGGGACUGAGACACGGCCCAGACUCCUACGGGAGGCAGCAGUGGGGAAUCUUCCGCAAUGGACGAAAGUCUGACGGAGCAACGCCGCGUGAGUGAUGACGGCCUUCGGGUUGUAAAGCUCUGUUAAUCGGGACGAAAGGCCUUCUUGCGAAUAGUGAGAAGGAUUGACGGUACCGGAAUAGAAAGCCACGGCUAACUACGUG